UACGGGGGGAGCAAGCGUUGUUCGGAUUUACUGGGCGUAAAGGGCGUGUAGGCGGUCUGGUAAGUGGGAUGUGAAAGCCCCCGGCUCACCCGGGGAUCUGCAUUCCAAACUGCCAGACUUGAGUAUGGGAGAGGACAGGGGAAUUCCUGGUGUAGCGGUGAAAUGCGUAGAUAUCAGGAGGAACACCGGUGGCGAAAGCGCCUGUCUGGCCCAAUACUGACGCUGAUGCGCGAAAGCUAGGGGAGCAAACGGG
rnacentral:rRNA from 1 species